rnacentral:rRNA from 1 species
GUGACUGCGUACCUUUUGUAUAAUGGGUCAGCGACUUAUAUUCUGUAGCAAGGUUAACCGAAUAGGGGAGCCGAAGGGAAACCGAGUCUUAACUGGGCGUUAAGUUGCAGGGUAUAGACCCGAAACCCGGUGAUCUAGCCAUGGGCAGGUUGAAGGUUGGGUAACACUAACUGGAGGACCGAACCGACUAAUGUUGAAAAAUUAGCGGAUGACUUGUGGCUGGGGGUGAAAGGCCAAUCAAACCGGGAGAUAGCUGGUUCUCCCCGAAAGCUAUUUAGGUAGCGCCUCGUGAAUUCAUCUCCGGGGGUAGAGCACUGUUUCGGCAAGGGGGUCAUCCCGACUUACCAACCCGAUGCAAACUGCGAAUACCGGAGAAUGUUAUCACGGGAGACACACGGCGGGUGCUAACGUCCGUCGUGAAGAGGGAAACAACCCAGACCGCCAGCUAAGGUCCCAAAGUCAUGGUUAAGUGGGAAACGAUGUGGGAAGGCCCAGACAGCCAGGAUGUUGGCUUAGAAGCAGCCAUCAUUUAAAGAAAGCGUAAUAGCUCACUGGUCGAGUCGGCCUGCGCGGAAGAUGUAACGGGGCUAAACCAUGCACCGAAGCUGCGGCAGCGACGCUUAUGCGUUGUUGGGUAGGGGAGCGUUCUGUAAGCCUGUGAAGGUGUGCUGUGAGGCAUGCUGGAGGUAUCAGAAGUGCGAAUGCUGACAUAAGUAACGAUAAAGCGGGUGAAAAGCCCGCUCGCCGGAAGACCAAGGGUUCCUGUCCAACGUUAAUCGGGGCAGGGUGAGUCGACCCCUAAGGCGAGGCCGAAAGGCGUAGUCGAUGGGAAACAGGUUAAUAUUCCUGUACUUGGUGUUACUGCGAAGGGGGGACGGAGAAGGCUAUGUUGGCCGGGCGACGGUUGUCCCGGUUUAAGCGUGUAGGCUGGUUUUCCAGGCAAAUCCGGAAAAUCAAGGCUGAGGCGUGAUGACGAGGCACUACGGUGCUGAAGCAACAAAUGCCCUGCUUCCAGGAAAAGCCUCUAAGCAUCAGGUAACAUCAAAUCGUACCCCAAACCGACACAGGUGGUCAGGUAGAGAAUACCAAGGCGCUUGAGAGAACUCGGGUGAAGGAACUAGGCAAAAUGGUGCCGUAACUUCGGGAGAAGGCACGCUGAUAUGUAGGUGAAGUCCCUCGCGGAUGGAGCUGAAAUCAGUCGAAGAUACCAGCUGGCUGCAACUGUUUAUUAAAAACACAGCACUGUGCAAACACGAAAGUGGACGUAUACGGUGUGACGCCUGCCCGGUGCCGGAAGGUUAAUUGAUGGGGUCAGCGCAAGCGAAGCUCUUGAUCGAAGCCCCGGUAAACGGCGGCCGUAACUAUAACGGUCCUAAGGUAGCGAAAUUCCUUGUCGGGUAAGUUCCGACCUGCACGAAUGGCGUAAUGAUGGCCAGGCUGUCUCCACCCGAGACUCAGUGAAAUUGAACUCGCUGUGAAGAUGCAGUGUACCCGCGGCAAGACGGAAAGACCCCGUGAACCUUUACUAUAGCUUGACACUGAACAUUGAGCCUUGAUGUGUAGGAUAGGUGGGAGGCUUUGAAGUGUGGACGCCAGUCUGCAUGGAGCCGACCUUGAAAUACCACCCUUUAAUGUUUGAUGUUCUAACGUUGACCCGUGAUCCGGGUUGCGGACAGUGUCUGGUGGGUAGUUUGACUGGGGCGGUCUCCUCCUAAAGAGUAACGGAGGAGCACGAAGGUUGGCUAAUCCUGGUCGGACAUCAGGAGGUUAGUGCAAUGGCAUAAGCCAGCUUGACUGCGAGCGUGACGGCGCGAGCAGGUGCGAAAGCAGGUCAUAGUGAUCCGGUGGUUCUGAAUGGAAGGGCCAUCGCUCAACGGAUAAAAGGUACUCCGGGGAUAACAGGCUGAUACCGCCCAAGAGUUCAUAUCGACGGCGGUGUUUGGCACCUCGAUGUCGGCUCAUCACAUCCUGGGGCUGAAGUAGGUCCCAAGGGUAUGGCUGUUCGCCAUUUAAAGUGGUACGCGAGCUGGGUUUAGAACGUCGUGAGACAGUUCGGUCCCUAUCUGCCGUGGGCGCUGGAGAACUGAGGGGGGCUGCUCCUAGUACGAGAGGACCGGAGUGGACGCAUCACUGGUGUUCGGGUUGUCAUGCCAAUGGCACUGCCCGGUAGCUAAAUGCGGAAGAGAUAAGUGCUGAAAGCAUCUAAGCACGAAACUUGCCCCGAGAUGAGUUCUCCCUGACCCUUUAAGGGUCCUGAAGGAACGUUGAAGACGACGACGUUGAUAGGCCGGGUGUGUAAGCGCAGCGAUGCGUUGAGCUAACCGGUACUAAUGAACCGUGAGGCUUAACCUU